rnacentral:rRNA from 1 species
ACGUCAAGUCAGCAUGGCCUUUAUGUCCUGGGCUACACACACGCUACAAUGGCCAGUACAGCAGGUAGCGAAGCCGCGAGGCGGAGCCAAUCCCCAAAGCUGGUCUCCGUUCAGAUUGCAGGCUGCAACUCGCCUGCAUGAAGACGGAAUCGCUAGUAAUCGCGGAUCAGCAUGUCGCGGUGAAUACGUUCCCGGGCCUU